UGACGUCGUUCAUGAGGAUGCUACUUAGUGAAAAUUA
rnacentral:rRNA from 1 species